rfam:Brassica oleracea var. oleracea cultivar TO1000 chromosome C1, whole genome shotgun sequence
GGAAUAUAAGAACCCGUCUCUUAACUUUUAACUAAAAAAACUAAGAACCGAUUCUUAAGAGCAUGUUUAAUGGGGGUUCUUAGGGUAGGAUCUUAGUGGAAUUUAAGAACCGGUUCUUAGCUUUUUUAGUUAAAAGUUAAGAGACAGGUACUUAUAUUCC